GAUGAACGCUGGCGGUGUGCCUAAUACAUGCAAGUCGAGCGAACGGACGAGAAGCUUGCUUCUCUGAUGUUAGCGGCGGACGGGUGAGUAACACGUGGAUAACCUACCUAUAAGACUGGGAUAACUUCGGGAAACCGGAGCUAAUACCGGAUAAUAUUUUGAACCGCAUGGUUCAAAAGUGAAAGACGGUCUUGCUGUCACUUAUAGAUGGAUCCGCGCUGCAUUAGCUAGUUGGUAAGGUAACGGCUUACCAAGGCAACGAUGCAUAGCCGACCUGAGAGGGUGAUCGGCCACACUGGAACUGAGACACGGUCCAGACUCCUACGGGAGGCAGCAGUAGGGAAUCUUCCGCAAUGGGCGAAAGCCUGACGGAGCAACGCCGCGUGAGUGAUGAAGGUCUUCGGAUCGUAAAACUCUGUUAUUAGGGAAGAACAUAUGUGUAAGUAACUGUGCACAUCUUGACGGUACCUAAUCAGAAAGCCACGGCUAACUACGUG
rnacentral:rRNA from 1 species